rnacentral:rRNA from 1 species
UGAACGCUGGCGGCGUGCCUAACACAUGCAAGUCGAGCGAAGCACUUUACUUUUGAGAUCUUCGGAAGGAUAAGUUUUGUGACUGAGCGGGCGGACGGGUGAGUAACGCGUGGGUAACCUGCCCCAUACAGGGGGAUAACAGUUAGAAAUGACUGCUAAUACCGCAUAAGACCACAGCACCGCAUGGUGCAAGGGGUAAAAACUCCGGUGGUAUGGGAUGGACCCGCGUCUGAUUAGCUAGUUGGUGAGGUAACGGCCCACCAAGGCAACGAUCAGUAGCCGACCUGAGAGGGUGACCGGCCACAUUGGGACUGAGACACGGCCCAAACUCCUACGGGAGGCAGCAGUGGGGAAUAUUGCACAAUGGGGGAAACCCUGAUGCAGCGACGCCGCGUGAGCGAAGAAGUAUUUCGGUAUGUAAAGCUCUAUCAGCAGGGAAGAAAAUGACGGUACCUGACUAAGAAGCACCGGCUAAAUACGUGCC